rfam:Stegodyphus mimosarum contig78105, whole genome shotgun sequence.
GCCUUCGUGGUGUAGUAGUCAGCACGCUGGGCGCGUGUUCCAGAGGUCCGUGGUUCGAAUCCCGCCGAAAGCA